UACGUAGGGUGCGAGCGUUAAUCGGAAUUACUGGGCGUAAAGCGUGCGCAGGCGGUUUUGUAAGACAGAUGUGAAAUCCCCGGGCUUAACCUGGGAACUGCAUUUGUGACUGCGAGACUAGAGUACGGCAGAGGGGGGUAGAAUUCCACGUGUAGCAGUGAAAUGCGUAGAUAUGUGGAGGAAUACCGAUGGCGAAGGCAGCCCCCUGGGUCGAUACUGACGCUCAUGCACGAAAGCGUGGGGAGCAAACAGG
rnacentral:rRNA from 1 species